AUUGAACGCUGGCGGCAUGCUUUACACAUGCAAGUCGAGCGGUUGAGGUAGCUUGCUACCGAUGCAGCGGCGAACGGGUGAGUAAUACAUGGGAAUCUGCCUGGUAGUGGGGGACAACGUCUCGAAAGGGACGCUAAUACCGCAUACGCCCUACGGGGGAAAGGGGGGGAUCUUCGGACCUCUCGCUAUCAGAUGAGCCCAUGUCAGAUUAGCUAGUUGGUGGGGUAAAGGCUCACCAAGGCGACGAUCUGUAACUGGUCUGAGAGGAUGAUCAGUCACACUGGAACUGAGACACGGUCCAGACUCCUACGGGAGGCAGCAGUGGGGAAUAUUGGACAAUGGGCGCAAGCCUGAUCCAGCCAUGCCGCGUGUGUGAAGAAGGCCUUAGGGUUGUAAAGCACUUUCAGUGGGGAGAAAGGUAAUUCACCUAAUACGUGAGUUAAUUGAUGUUACCCACAGAAGAAGCACCGGCUAACUCCGUGCCAGCAGCCGCAGUAA
rnacentral:rRNA from 1 species